AAUUUAUAUAUUUUUUAAUUCUGAAUAUUAUUAGUAGCUUUUAGAAUCAAUUAUAUGUGAGAGGUUAAAAAAAAAUUGGCAGUAAUGAAUAUUAAUCUAAUUAUUAGAAGUAGAAUUAGGAUUAUUAGGGAAAUAAGGUUAAGCAUGUGCCAGCAGCAGCGGUUAAACUUGUUUUAUUAGGUUAUUUUAGGGAUAAAUAAAAUUUAAUUUUUAAAAAAAAUAAGGGUUUAAAAUUAAAUUUAGGUUAAAUUAUUAUUUAAUUACACUUUAAAAAAGAAUAUUUGAGAGGAAGAUUAUAAAAUAGGAUUAGAUACCCUAGUAUACUUUUUGCAAAUAAAUUAUUUGGGGAAUAUUGUUUAUAAAACAUAAAUUCAAAGAAUUUGGCGGUAUAAUAAUUUUUUAGGGGAGUUUGUUUUUUAAUUCGAUAAUCCACGACUUACCUUACUUUGUUUUUAAAGUUUACACAUUUCCGUUAUGUAAGUUUAUCUUGAAAUGGUUGAAUAAACUAAUUAUUAUUUGAGUAAUAUUUAAAUCAGGUAAAUAAGUAGUUUUAAUAAAGGAUAAAAUGAGCUACAAUUGUUGAAAACAUAAAUUGAAAAUUUUUUGAAAAAAUUUUUUGAAAUUGAACUUAAAAGUAAUAUUUAUAUUAGAUAAAUAAUUUGAAUAAAAUAAAUUAUAUGUACAAAUCGCCCGACACUCCCCCUGAAAAGGGGGAUAAGUCGUAACAAAGUAAAGGUAUCAGAAGAUGCCUCUAGAGUUUU
rnacentral:rRNA from 1 species